GUAUUGUUUGCCCAAUAUUUGUGCAAGUUUUACCACCAAACAAACUGUAGUGAUUAAAAACACAACAUCAUGUUCAAAUUUUCGUUUGAUGUUGAUGGUGCCGGCGGAACUCCCUCCGCAGCAGAACCACAACAACAAGAACCAGAGCAGGAACAAAUGUCUCAAAACAGCCAGCAGGGAUAUGAGUGUGAGAAACUGGAGUUACCUGAAAACCUACGUCAGGGUGUUGUUAUUGAGCGGGACAAUUUACAUGUGUUCGUCGCGAGCGUGGAUACUUUAGUGGAGUAUAUCAACUGUUUGUCAUUGCCGGUGGACUACUUUUCCGACGACAUCCAACUGGCUGAGCUCGAUCACUCGGACUUAGUCCCAGGCAUGUACGAAGGAGGCCUCAAGGUAUGGGAAUGCACGUUUGAUCUGGGAGAACGAAUGGCUGAAAAAGCCGAAUACAAGAAGCUAUUUGAUAAAUCCACGGUACUGGAUUUGGGCUGCGGUUCCGGUAUCCUCGGGAUAGUUGCAAUAAAGCUAGGAGCCAGCAAGGUGGCUUUUCAGGACUAUAACAAAGAUGUGCUCGAGCGAGUGACAAUGAAAAAUUAUUCGCUGAACUGCUGUGCUGCCGAUGAUCUUCAAAGUUCCGACCAGUCGGACUCUGCUGCGGUAGAAUUUUAUUCUGGCGAUUGGGGCAGCUUUGUGGACAAAGUCGAAAGGCAGUUUGACGUUAUCUUGACGUCUGAAACCAUAUACAAUACCAAAAAUUAUCCAAAACUACUUAAGUUAUUCCGAGAAAAACUGCGACCGGACGGAGUGGUACUUCUCACAUCCAAAACGUGUUACUUUGGCGUGGGUGGCGGCAUACGUCUCUUCGAGAAGGCGAUGGACGAGGAUGGCUAUUUCAGGUAUCGCACAGCAUGGGAAUGCGACAGCGGCGUGUUGAGGGAGAUUCUUGAAAUUCGUGUCAAAUCUUCAUCCGGAGGGCAACAACAGCAACAGCAACAGCUACCAGGUAACGUUGCAGCGCGACUGCUACAUCGGGUUUGGAUGCUGGUAAAGCACACACGUUAUGCAUAGAAAGUCUGUCUGCCGGUGAUGCUCCGUUUUCCAACACAACAGCCUUUAUUUAGCCCAUCGAUCCAUUAUUGUUUAUUAGAGAUGACGGAGCCGUGCGAGCCAUUUACACUAUCAUCAGUGCAACGUAUUCCCGACCCGUAUGGAUUAUGUAAAAGAUACCGAUCAACAGGUAUGCUCUCGAUGAGGAUGGGAAAACAACGGCAUUCGCGAGGUGCGAUUGUUACGCUAAUGAAAGGAAUUUUCAUAAACCCAUAAUCUCACAGACUGUUUACGACACCUCGCUGGGUACGUGCGUGUGUGUAUGUGUUGGACAGAGCAGAUUUUAUGCCCGAUGCGGACCAAGUCCAUUGACCGGCACACAACAAGGAACCGACAGCGCGCAUUGAAUCCUCUCUUUUUUCCCUUCGAUAUCAAUCAUAACAAUCAGCUGGUCGCCGCCAGCGGGCUUUCGUGUUUUCGCCGCGCGCGCCUUCCUUUCAUAUUGAUUGGGUGGUGGCGGCGAAGUGCAACAUCAUCUGCCUUGUAUUAUGGACACAAGUGAACAGCAUGCAUAACCGUAUCGAUUUCGUUGCGCUUGCUGACGGGAAAAUCGAGAGAGUCUAUGACCGCUGCCGCCCGCAGGCUGGGGGGUGUUCAGAGGAUACGCGCUGUGCUUCAAAAUCCAUUAAUGGGAGGCGGCAGCGUUAGCCGCCAUUUUCCAGCAUUGUUCAACUGUCAGUCAUUAGUCGAUUGAAUUCUAG